AACUCGCCUGUAUGAAGUCGGAAUUGCUAGUAAUCGCGGAUCAGCAUGCCGCGGUGAAUACGUUCCCGGGCCUUGUACACACCGCCCGUCACACCAUGAGAGUUGGGGAUACCCGAAGCCUGUGAGCUAACUUUUAGAGGCAGCAGUCGAAGGUAGAAUCAAUGAUUGGGGUGAAGUCGUAACAAGGUACC
rnacentral:rRNA from 1 species